rnacentral:lncRNA from 1 species
CAGGAAAGGAUAAAACUAAAUACGUGGGCAUGGAAGCAAUUCAUAAAAACUUGAAAGAGUGGUGUGAGUGUCCUCUGUAAAUGGUGACUCUGGAAAUUAAUCAAAUCUGGAACUCAACUGGAGAAUAUCCUCAGCAAUAUAUCAAUGUUGUCAUAUGGGAAAGAUGGAACAAAUACGAGAUGGACAAAUAUUUGAAGGCCUAACCACAUAACAAUACUAAACAAAAAUCUACUAAGGCUAGUGGAAAUUAGUAUUCAGGUCGAUAUGUGAAAUAAGGAUUGACUGUAACUGCUAAAACAGAAAACACAAUAAAAUACCAGAUUCAAUACUUUCAUAUGCUGAUGGCAGGAUGCUGUUGGAAAAAUCUGCUUAGAUGUUAAAGGAACAAUCGGCUUAGAGUUUUCAUUAUAAAGGAACAAUCGGCUUAGAUGUUAAGAACUUCUAUCUGAAAUAGAAGUACGUGUAAAUUAAUUUAUGAUGGAAAUUAUUACAUCCUAGAACAAAAUUAUAAAUAUGUGAAUAAAAGAAACCAAAAAAGAAAAAUGCAAAAGGGACAAUUGUGAGGGAAAGAAGGUUGAGAAUUUAUGGAAAUUUAAAAAAAAAAAAAAUAUCGAAUACAUCAGAGGACAGACAACAUAAAUGGGGGGCAAUAGUUCCAGCAACUAGACCUCCAAAAUCAACUAAACACUUAAGCCCCAUCACUCAUCACAAAUAGAAGAACUGAUGCACCAAAUGAUACCAAUUUCUUUGCAGACACCGAUUAUCUCUAAAAAACUUCUACAUAAAUUCAACUCGAACGUUUCUUAGCACAUGAUUUCUUUUUCUCUCAGUUAGUAGUAAGCAUACACUGGAUAACUUACUUUUAUGUUGAACUUUUCUUAAUCUGCGAGCGGUAAAAUUCCACAUACAUUCGGACUGACACGGUGAAAGCAAUAGACGAAUAUAGAAAUGGGAUAAAGAGGUAGGAGGGAGGCAACUAGCGGCGAGUGGCAAUGAAACCGGAAGGCAGAAGCCCUCUCAAUGAACAUGUGAGAUCUGGAAAGCCCAAGCCAUAGUAGGGAUGCUGUGAGAGACGAAAUAGGGUUAGGGAUUUGCAAAGAAGGGAAAUGAAGCAUUUGGAUUUCAGCAGGGAUGAGAAAAGAAUGUGGGAAAUGAAAAUUUAAGUGGGAGGGAAAUUGCAUAGAGUUUAG